GACAGAGGAUGCAAGCGUUAUCCGGAAUGAUUGGCGUAAAGCGUCUGUAGGUGGCUUUUUAAGUCCGCCGUCAAAUCCCAGGGCUCAACCCUGGACAGGCGGUGGAAACUACCAAGCUGGAGUACGGUAGGGGCAGGAGGAAUUUCCGGUGGAGCGGUGAAAUGCGUAGAGAUCGGAAAGAACACCAACGGCGAAAGCACUCUGCUGAGCCGACACUGACACUGAGAGACGAAAGCUAGGGGAGCGAAUGGG
rnacentral:rRNA from 1 species